GGCAAGAUGACCGAGUGGUUAAGGUAAAUUCGCACUGCCCUCACACGCAAGACGCGUGGGUUCGAAUCCCACUCUUGUCA
rnacentral:tRNA from 2 species